GAUGAACGCUGGCGGCGUGCCUAAUACAUGCAAGUCGAGCGAACAGACGAGGAGCUUGCUCCUCUGACGUUAGCGGCGGACGGGUGAGUAACACGUGGAUAACCUACCUAUAAGACUGGGAUAACUUCGGGAAACCGGAGCUAAUACCGGAUAAUAUAUUGAACCGCAGGGUUCAAUAGUGAAAGACGGUUUUGCUGUCACUUCUAGAUGGUUCCGCGCCGCAUUAGCUAGUUGGUAAGGUAACGGCUUACCAAGGCAACGAUGCGUAGCCGACCUGAGAGGGGGAUCGGCCACACGGGAACGUAGACACGGUCCAGACUCCUACGGGAGGCAGCAGUAGGGAAUCUGCCGCAGUGGGCGAAAGCUUGACGGAGCAACGCCGCGUGAGUGAUGAAGGUCUUCGGAUCGUAAAACUCUGUUAUUAGGGAAGAACAAAUGUGUAAGUAACUAUGCACGUCUUGACGGUACCUAAUCAGAAAGCCACGGCUAACUACGUG
rnacentral:rRNA from 1 species